UACGGAGGGUGCGAGCGUUGUCCGGAAUCACUGGGCGUAAAGGGCGCGUAGGUGGUGACCUAAGCGUGCGGUAAAAGCCCGAGGCUCAACCUCGGGUCGGCCGUGCGAACUGGGUCACUGGAGCAGAAUAGAGGCAGGUGGAAUUCCGGGGUGUAGCGGUGGAAUGCGUAGAGAUCCGGAAGAACACCGGUGGCGAAGGCGGUCGACUGGGCCAGUACUGACGCUGAGGCGCGACAGCGUGGGGAGCAAACAGG
rnacentral:rRNA from 1 species